rnacentral:rRNA from 1 species
UUAAAUGGCCGCAGUAAUUUGACUGUGCAAAGGUAGCAUAAUCAUUAGUUUUUUAAUUAGAAGCUAGAAUGAAUGGUUGGACGAGAUAUAAUCUGUCUUUGGAUAAAAAAUAGAAUUUAAUUUUUAAGUUAAAAAGCUUAAAUAAAAAUAAAAGACGAGAAGACCCUAUAGAUUUUUAUAAUAUUGUUUAUAUUAUAGAUUAAGAUUAUUUUAUUUAUUAUAUUUAAUAUUAUUUUAUUGGGGUAAUAGGGAGAUUAAAUUAAUUCUCUUAAGUAUUUUACAAUAAUGUUUGAUUUAUUUGAUCCUUUAUUAAAGAUUAAAAGAUUAAGUUACCUUAGGGAUAACAGCGUAAUUUUUUUGAAGAGUUCAUAUCGAUAAAAAAGUUUGCGACCUCGAUGUUGGAUUAAAAAUUAUUCUAGGAGUAGAAGUUUAGAAUUUUGGUCUGUUCGACCAUUAAAUUUUUACAUGAUCUGAGUUCAGACCGGUGUAAGCCAGGUCGGUUUCUAUCUUUAUUUAAUGAAUAUAUUUUAGUACGAAAGGACCAAAUAUUUAAUAUAUUAAUAUUUAUUUUUUGAAUAAUAUUAUUACUUUGGCAGAUUAGUGUAAUAAAUUUAGAAUUUAUGUAUGUAAGUAUUUUACAAGUAAUAUUGUUUUAUUUAGAUUUAUUGAUUUCUUUAAUUUGUAUAUUAUUAUUGGUAGUAUGUGUUUUAGUUGGAGUAGCUUUUUUGACUUUA